rnacentral:rRNA from 1 species
AUUGAACGCUGGCGGCAGGCCUAACACAUGCAAGUCGAGCGGAUGAAGGGAGCUUGCUCCUGGAUUCAGCGGCGGACGGGUGGGUAAUGCCUAGGAAUCUGCCUGGUAGUGGGGGAUAACGUCCGGAAACGGGCGCUAAUACCGCAUACGUCCUGAGGGAGAAAGUGGGGGAUCUUCGGACCUCACGCUAUCAGAUGAGCCUAGGUCGGAUUAGCUAGUUGGUGGGGUAAAGGCCUACCAAGGCGACGAUCCGUAACUGGUCUGAGAGGAUGAUCAGUCACACUGGAACUGAGACACGGUCCAGACUCCUACGGGAGGCAGCAGUGGGGAAUAUUGGACAGUGGGCGAAAGCCUGAUCCAGCCAUGCCGCGUGUGUGAAGAAGGUCUUCGGAUUGUAAAGCACUUUAAGUUGGGAGGAAGGGCAGUAAGUUAAUACCUUGCUGUUUUGACGUUACCAACAGAAUAAGCACCGGCUAACUUCGU